UAAAAAUUUACCUGAUUAUUAUAAUCUAAGGGUUUAUGAUGAUGAUAAUCUAAGUUUAUGAUUAUGAUUUAGGUGUAGCUCCAAUCUGAAAUGAACAAUGAAAAUCAAUUAAUUAUAAAUAGCAGUACAGCAAGAGAAGACUGAAUUAGUCAAUUAUAAUGUGUUCAUGGAAUUAACUUUGUGAGCCUGUAUUUUAGGCCACACUUUUCUUUCAGCUUUAGGUGUUAUAGAAAAUCUAGUCGACUACCUGGAUUAUGUAAAAAAAAAGUUUUCUGCUCUAAGAUUAUCAGCACAAAACCUUUCUCACUGUUGACACCUUCUUUUUGUUAAGGCGUUAUGAAGAAAGUACUAAGUUUAAGUGGUUAUAUUAUUAUUUUUAUCAAAUAUGGAGGAAUCCUACUGAAAGUUUUGUUUUGAAUUCCAUGACUUUCCCUGACCAACUUUGUCCAAAUUCUCUGACCUUCACAUUUCUUACAGUAUGGAAUAUUGACAUUUACUGUAAACAUUGAGUACACACCUAUCCCUCUUUUUGCACAGUUAAUACAUUCCAAAGACUGUGCCAAAAUGAACAGUACAUACAUCCUGUAGAAAAAUGUUUGAUAGGAUCUACAACUUCAAUGUAAUGAAAAAAUUUUAUUAGACCAAGAAUAGAAUUAAAUUACAAUUAAAUUUUAUAAUUAUUAUUUUUCAUACAAUUCAUAUUUGCUCUCUUCCAAACAGUAUUUACUUAUUUAUUCCUCAAAUAAAACUUUUGA